rnacentral:rRNA from 1 species
GACUCUCGGCAAUGGAUAUCUCAGCUCUCGCAUAGAUGAAGAACGUAGCAAUAUGCGAUACUUGGUGUGAAUUGCAGAAUCCCGUGAACCAUCGAGUCUUUGACCGCAUGUUGCGCCCCAAGCCUUCUGGCCGAGGGCACGUCUGCCUGGGUGUCA